rnacentral:rRNA from 1 species
GUUAUAGGGACAAGUGAAUAAGUGCACAUGGCGGAUGCCUUGGCGAUUACAGGCGAUGAAGGACGUAGAAGUCUGCGAUAAGCUUCGGGGAGCUGACAAACAAGCUUUGAUCCGAAGAUUUCCGAAUGGGGAAACCCGGCCUUUUAGGUCAUCUCACACUGAAUACAUAGGUGUGUGAAGCGAACGCGGCGAACUGAAACAUCUAAGUAGCUGCAGGAAAAGAAAUCAACCGAGAUUCCCAAAGUAGUGGCGAGCGAAAUGGGAAGAGCCUGUACGUGAUAGUCGUUCUGAUAGUGGAAUCCUCUGGAAAUAGGAGCCAUAGCGGGUGAUAGCCCCGUACACGAAAUCAGAGCGGUGGUACUAAGCGUACGACAAGUAGGGCGGGACACGAGAAAUCCUGUCUGAACAUGGGGGGACCAUCCUCCAAGGCUAAAUACUCGUAAUCGACCGAUAGUGAACCAGUACCGUGAGGGAAAGGCGAAAAGAACCCCGGGAGGGGAGUGAAAUAGAUCCUGAAACCGUGUGCAUACAAACAGUCGGAGCCUCGCAAGGGGUGACGGCGUACCUUUUGUAUAAUGGGUCAGCGACUUACAUUCAGUGGCGAGGUUAACCAGAUAGGGGAGCCGUAGAGAAAUCGAGUCCGAACAGGGCGCCAGUCGCUGGGUGUAGACCCGAAACCAAGUGAUCUAUCCAUGGCCAGGUUGAAGGUGCGGUAACACGCACUGGAGGACCGAACCCACUAAUGUUGAAAAAUUAGGGGAUGAGCUGUGGAUAGGGGUGAAAGGCUAAACAAACUUGGAAAUAGCUGGUUCUCUCCGAAAACUAUUUAGGUAGUGCCUCAAGUAUCACCGACGGGGGUAGAGCACUGUUAUGGCUAGGGGGUCAUCGCGACUUACCAAACCAUUGCAAACUCCGAAUACCGUUGAGUGCGAGCUUGGGAGACAGACAUCGGGUGCUAACGUCCGGUGUCAAGAGGGAAACAACCCAGACCGCCAGCUAAGGUCCCAAAGAUUGGCUAAGUGGAAAACGAAGUGGGAAGGCUAAAACAGUCAGGAUGUUGGCUUAGAAGCAGCCAUCAUUUAAAGAAAGCGUAAUAGCUCACUGAUCGAGUCGUCCUGCGCGGAAGAUGUAACGGGGCUAAGCCAGUCACCGAAGCUGCGGAUAUCCG